CAUACGGCUGGGGCCAACCGCCGCUAAGUCCAAAGAGAGAGAGAAAAAAAAAAAAACUCUCCGCAGCCAAAUCGAGAUCUCUUUCCCGUCCUCCAAGCCGGCGACUCCCUCCCCGUCCGGCGGCGGCGUCGGCGUCGGCGUCGGCGGCGAAGAGAUCGAUCGAUGGCGUCGGCGUUGUCCUCCCUGCGCUACGGCGACAGCCUCUCGGUGGUGGCGAUCUCGGGCGCCACGGCCGUGCUCUGCGAGGCCAUCUCCUGGCUCCUCAUCUACCGCACCGCCACCUACAACUCCCUCCGCGCCACCAUCGAGCGCCACUCCCGCAAGCUCGACGCCAUGAAGGCCGGCGCCUCCAACUCCUCGUCCUCCUCCUCCGCCGGCGCCGGCGCCUCCGGGUCCUCCCAGCCCGCGGGCUCCUCCUCGUCGCGGGCCAAGAAGAUGGACCGCGUCGAGACCAGCCUCAAGGACGCCGCGCGGGAGCUGUCGCUCUCCAAGCUCAAGUCCGGCGCCGUCGUGGCCGCCGUGCUCUUCGUCGUCUUCGGCCUGCUCAACUCCCUCUUCGAGGGCCGCGCCGUCGCCAAGCUGCCCUUCGCCCCGGUGCCGCUCGUCCAGCGCAUGAGCCACCGUGGCGUCCCCGGGAACGACCCCACCGACUGCUCCAUGGUCUUCCUCUACUUCCUCUGCUCCAUCAGCAUCCGCACCAACCUGCAGAAGCUGCUCGGCUUCGCGCCGCCCCGCGCCGCGGCCGCCGCCGGCGGGGGCCUCUUCCCCAUGCCCGAUCCGAAAGUAAAUUGAGGUAGCGGAUUUGAUCCUUUGCUCCAAUUCUCCCCAAUACUUACCGUUAUUGGCCGUGCUAAUUAUACUAGAACUGAAUAGAUCAGGAUGCUUAGUUCUGAUUAUGAAAUUUGCAUACUGGAUCUACUGAUACAAACGGGGGCUUGAAUUUUCUUUUGUUAUGAUCCAACUUUCUGAUGCAUUUGCCUGAUAUUGUAAUGAGAUUGGAAUGCAUUUAAUAUCCUUCUGGAAUUGAAUGAGCACAUAGGUUUGCUCCAAAACUUGAGGUGUAUCCUGAGUAUUGUUUUUCCUGUUAUUUUGUGGGGUAAUCUAGAUUAUGGAUUCCCUGAAUUGAUUAUCUGCUCAUUUGGAUGAAUUCAUGAUGUUAUGUGGAUUGCUUGAUGUAUAAGAAUUAGUCCCGACUUUUGAGUUCUUACCCCUUUAGAGAAUGUGCAAAAGGAUUGCGCACCUUUGUAUUAUGAAGGAACAAAGGUUUUUACACCACCUGCAUGCAAAAGCAGCAGAUCGACCUGAGUUCUGGCCCUGAUCAAUGAUCAAUGCUGUAGUUCAGAAGUGUGCUUUGAUAACAUUGAGUGUGUGUUUGUACAUUUUUUAAACAGUUUUAGUGGCCAAGAAACAAUAGCUUUAGCUAAUUUCUCGUCUUUAAUCUGUCUAUGUCUGUUCUCUGAGUUCAAAAUUGUGCAAGCAUGCCCCAAUAGUUCUUCCUCAUGUUUCUGGGGCAAAAUUCAGCACAUUCAAGCAGCAUCCCUAUUGCUGUUUGUUGUGAAUCUGCGCUUGGAUCUACGCUGUGGAUGUUUAUGGAAUUUACAUUUUAUAAGUUCUGGAAAUAAUGUGAUUGAAUUUUCCAAUUUUUAGUGGAUACAAAUUUUGUGUUGAUACUUUCAUUAAGGACGAGCCGACAAUUAUCCGAUUAGUUCAUGCUAGCCCGUUUCUGUGGAUAGGUGUUACUCAGGUCUAACAUCCAAUAAUUGGGUACCCUACCAAAGAGCACUUUUGGACCUAACAGUUGCCAUGCUUUAUUCAUUCUGUGCCACUAGGACUGUUUGUUUUUAAUCAGUACUUUGUUUAGUCAUAAUGGGGUUUUUCAUUAACCUACUUAGUGAGGCGUGGACAUGUGUAAUGGAGAAAACCUUUGAGAAUAUUUUCUCAAUAGGGGUCUGCCUCUCCAAUGUAUGUCAAACUAGUGAUUUAUCUCACUACAGUGUAUAGUAGCUUUGUGCAAGUAAUAGCCGCUUGUUCAGAGAAGUAUGAUCCAUGGGUAACCAUUGAUAAAUACCAAUACCUCAGUUCUGUGGUAAACAUACAAAAUGUAUCUCAGAAUUGCCAUAUGAUUUAGUAGUCAAAACAUCCCAAAUAGCUUGCUUGAUUUUUUUUGUUUGACUGUUUGAAAUUUUAAUCUUUUGACUUUGAACAUGCUGUUUAAGUGAACAGAACACUGAAAUACUGAUGCUUGAUGAAUUUACACUCUGUAUGGUGGUGAGGAUAGUUCAUGCUGAUCACUGAUUGAACUAUCUUUCAUGCACACCCCCAUGACCGUGACGGUGUUGAUUUCGGCAUGGACUUCCGUCUCCGAGAAGAGUGAUUACGAUGGAAACGGGGAGAAAUGCCAUGAGAUUCUGUACUCAUACGCCUGUUUACAAAUUCGUUUCCCAUAACUUGCUAGCCAGGUAUUCGCACACAUGACCUGCAAACUGAUGGAAGCUAGACUUUUUAUUUUUAUUAUUCCAUAGAGCAAGCAGUGAAGUGAACUUGACCACGUGAAGCCAGGUUGCUGCGUGUCAAUGAAACCGUGCAGCCAGCUAUCGAACUCUUCUAGCCUUUUGUCUCUUGUGUCAAAGAUAACAUUGUUGCCAUGAUGCCAUCCCCUCUUGCUCUGUUGUGUGGAC